AACAUGAUGCCGCGGCGGGGGGACCCAGUCAAACGGGGGUUUAGGGGCGGGAGAGACAUUCCCUGCCGAUGGGAUCACAUCGUGCUACGAGGCGGCGAUUUUCAGCGAGGGAUGGAGAACCAGGAUGAAGAACGAGGAUGGAGAACCAGGCGUAGAGAUCCAGGAUGGAGAACCAGGGAUGGAGAACCAGGAUGGAAAACCAGGAUGGUCAGCUAGGGAUGAAGAACCAGGAUGAAGAACCAAAGAUAGAGAACCAGGAUGAAGAACCAGGAUGGAGAACCAGGAUGGAGAACCGGGAUGGAGAACCGGGGAUGGAGAACUAGAGAUGGAGAACCAGGGAUGGAGAACUAGGGAUGGAGAACCAGGAUGGAGAACCAGGAUGGAGAACCAGGAUGGAGAACCAGGGGUGAAGAACCAGAGAUGAAGAACCAAGGGUAGAGAAUCAGGAUGAAGAACUAAGGGUAGAGAACUAGGAUGGAGAACCAGAUCACAGAAACCUCUCCCAGGCACAAUGUUGGUGGUGACCCCUCUCUGAGGAAGGACCAUGAGGGCUUCCUCAUGGGCUGAGGUCCCUCAGCAGAACAAGACGUCCUGUGGGUGGAACCGGGGGGCCCUUUGAGAUUGGGCCUCGUGCCCAGCGACAUGCCCAAGGGUGGAGGACACAGAGCCGUGGGGACAGGAAGCCACAAUGUGGGACGUCGGAGGAGCCCGAGGACGAGCAGCAAGAACAUGACUCUGGUUUUCAUGGGCAACAUGACCAGCCCUAACGUGACCAUCAGGAGGACAGGUGUGGGAAAGACUGACGGACGCUCUGCCUCAGUUUACCUCUGACUGUGGGAAGAUGGUGCCAAGAAGGCCAAACACCAAACCCUUCACCGACAUCUCAUUCUUGAUUUAUUUCAACCCUUCUGUGCCUUUUUGCGGCAGAACCUGGUGGGUCCCCCCAGCGCCGUCCUCCUGCACGGGGGGGGACAGACCCCACGACACCCGCCAGACCGAAACCUCGACCGUGGGUUCAACCACACACACGGAGCGCCGGGCGGUGGUUUGUCACCUCUAAAUACCCUCGGGAGGCACCGAAAGCCGAUCAAUCACCCCCCCCCCGCAAAAACUGAGCUUAACGAGCCAAAAACUCAGCGGCCGCAAAUUUGGCGGCGGGAGGAGCAGCAGCCCCGGGGCAGAAGGAUUUGUGGCUGCGCUCAGGAUUUAAUUUAGCUCGGCGCGGCGGGUCGGCGGCCGGGGGCGCAGGAAUGCCCCCGGCUAAUCCCCCCGCCCCGACCACGACUAUUUUAGGGCAGCGCUGGCCGCGCGGAGCCCAAGGCGGCCCUUGCGCUCAGCGUCCUGGCAUCCCUCCACCUCCCGCUGGCCGCGCUCCCGGCCCCGCACCCACCCCGCUGGAUUGAACCCCCCCUCGGCAACACAGCACAAAGAACCGCGCGCCCCCCCCGCUCCCCGGCACCUGCUAUGGGGUCCGGAGGGCUGGGAAAGCUUUGGUUCGGGGCCAAGAGGAGCGUCUUGGCGGCUCCUCCGGCCUCCCGUGCCGCGGCGCCGCGGGACGGUGACCUCAGGGCGCAGCGAUGCCGGGGGCGCUGCCAACCGCGCCGUCAACCCCGUGAGCGCUCGCUGCCACCGGCCAAGGCGGGACGAGGAGACGUGUCCUUGUCCCCUGCGCCGCGGUGUAACCCAGCGAGGCCCCCAUGCCUUAAACACCUUGGCCAAGCAGGGCGAGGUGAAAUCAGUUAACCUAUCUCCAAGUGUUUCGCAGCAAUGAUGUGCUACGCACACUUUAAAUGUGAAAAUAGGUUUUUAAUGGUCUGAAACCCCUCACCUGUGCCAGCGGAAGGUAUUCAGGAAGUACAGAAAGAAGCUGGAUAGGCGAGAAAUUAGUACAAUAGUUUUCCAUAAAACGGGGGAAGGGUAAUGGUGAAGUUUUUUGAUUAUUGGAGUAAUUUGGUAAGAAUAUCAGACCUUAUGGGAAGAGCGUAAGACCUCACCUAGAAAGGCUGGUAGCAAGUCUUAAGAUCAAUUUAAUCUCAUCUGGAGGUGGGUGUAACUGCGUUUUUUGAAAGCACAAAGGAAAUGAAACAAGCAUUGAGAAGCUUUUCCCCUUCGCCUUUGUGCUGUUUGAACUUUGCCUGCCUUCAGCACCCUUAGUUCGGAUUUGCGCUUCGUUCGCUUGGUUUUUUAAGCAGAAAAAGGAGUUUUGUGCUCUCCCUUUAGGCCACGAAACUUGGGAAGAAUCAGGGACUUUCUGCACCGCGGCCAGGACGUGAUCGUGUCUAAUUAGCGAGACGAACCCCGACCGGCUGUUAACGCUGUUGGAGCUGCACGUUGUGUCCCCCCCCCCCGCCCCGGGCGCUGUGUUUUCCCAGCUCCGCCGCCCGAUUUCUGCUGGUUCGGGGAGAUUGAGCCAAAAAACAAACCCGGCGACCAAACCGCAACAAAACGAACCCAAAUCGACCGAACUAAAAGAAACGACACCAAAAGGAACACAGGGAAGUCCCGUUCCUGCAGCACAUUGGUUUAAUUAGAGCGGGUUUAAAGCGUUAAAGUGGAUCCUGAGUUGAAUCAACAAAGCAAGGAAUUAAUUCCAUCCUC